rnacentral:piRNA from 1 species
UGAGAUAAAAUGAUCUUGCCUAACUUCU